rnacentral:rRNA from 1 species
GACGAACGCUGGCGGCGUGCUUAACACAUGCAAGUCGAACGGUAAGGCCCCUUCGGGGGUACACGAGUGGCGAACGGGUGAGUAACACGUGAGAAACCUGCCCUUGACUCUGGGAUAACAUUUGGAAACAGCUGCUAAUACCGGAUACGACCUGUGAUGAAAUCAUCUGGAGGUGGAAAGCGCCUUAGCGGUAAAGGAUGGGAGCGCGGCCUAUCAGCUUGUUGGUGAGGUGACGGCUCGCCAAGGCUUCGACGGGUAGCCGGCCUGAGAGGGCGACCGGCGACUCUGGGACUGAGAUACGGCCCAGACUCGUACGGGAGGCAGCAGUGGGGAAUAUUGCACAAUGGGCGCAAGCCUGAUGCAGCAACGCCGCGUGCGGGAUGACGGCCGUCGGGUUGUAAACCGCUUUCAGUUCCGACGAAGCGCAAGUGACGGUAGGAACAGAAGAAGGACCGGCCAACUACGUGCCAGCCGCCGCAGUAA